rnacentral:rRNA from 1 species
UGGGGAAUAUUGCACAAUGGGCGGAAGCCUGAUGCAGCGACGCCGCGUGGGGGAUGAAGGCCUUCGGGUUGUAAACUCCUUUCGACAGGGACGAAGCUUUUGUGACGGUACCUGUAUAAGAAGCACCGGCUAACUACGUGCCAGCAGCCGCGGUAAUACGUAGGGUGCGAGCGUUGUCCGGAAUUACUGGGCGUAAAGAGCUCGUAGGUGGUUUGUCGCGUCGUCUGUGAAAUUCCGGGGCUUAACUCCGGGCGUGCAGGCGAUACGGGCUGACUUGAGUGCUGUAGGGGAGACUGGAAUUCCUGGUGUAGCGGUGAAAUGCGCAGAUAUCAGGAGGAACACCGAUGGCGAAGGCAGGUCUCUGGGCAGUAACUGACGCUGAGGAGCGAAAGCAUGGGUAGCGAACAGGAUUAGAUACCCUGGUAGUCCACGCCGUAAACGAUGAGUGCUAGGUGUUAGACCCUUUCCGGGGUUUAGUGCCGCAGCUAACGCAUUAAGCACUCCGCCUGGGGAGUACGACCGCAAGGUUG